GAUGAGAUUUCCCAUCGCUCGAAGCGAGUAAGAUCCCUUGAAGAUGACGAGGUAGAUAGGUCCGAGGUGGAAGCGUGGCGACACGUGGAGCUGACGGAUACUAAUCGAUCGAGGACUUAACCAA
rnacentral:rRNA from 1 species